GACGAACGCUGGCGGCGUGCUUAACACAUGCAAGUCGAGCGGUAAGGCCCUUUCGGGGGUACACGAGCGGCGAACGGGUGAGUAACACGUGGGUGACCUGCCCUCAGCUCUGGGAUAAGCCUGGGAAACCGGGUCUAAUACUGGAUAUGACUCCAUGACGCAUGUUGGUGGGGUGGAAAGCCUUGUGCGGCUGAGGAUGGGG
rnacentral:rRNA from 1 species